rnacentral:misc_RNA from 1 species
CAGAGAACAUCGCCCUCACGGGUGACUCUCCAACCCUAUGUUAUUAAAACCUUUGUUGCUUUGGCGAGCCGCUUCGGCCACCGGCUUCUGCUGGUGUGCGCUCGCCAGAGGACCAUAAACCCUGUUUAUCAAUGUCGUCUGAGCACUAUAUAAUAGUUA